UACGGGGGGAGCAAGCGUUGUUCGGAUUUACUGGGCGUAAAGGGCGCGUAGGCGGCUUGACAAGUCACUUGUGAAAUCUCCGGGCUUAACCCGGAGCGGCCAAGUGAUACUGUCGUGCUAGAGUGCGGAAGGGGCUACUGGAAUUCUCGGUGUAGCGGUGAAAUGCGUAGAUAUCGAGAGGAACACCUGCGGCGAAGGCGGGUAGCUGGGCCGACACUGACGCUGAGGCGCGAAAGCCAGGGGAGCGAACGGG
rnacentral:rRNA from 1 species